GCCGGGUGUGGUGGCGCACGCCUGUAGUCCCAGCUACUUAGGAGGCCGAGGCAGGAGAAUCGCUUGAACCCGGGAGGUGGAGCUUGCAGUGAGCCAAGAUGGCGCCACUGCACUCCAGCCUGGGCGAUAGAGCGAGACUUGUCUCAA
ensembl:misc_RNA Metazoa_SRP Metazoan signal recognition particle RNA